GCCACCGACAUUAUACUCAGCCUCACCGGUCAUAUCUGCCAUUGAGCCACAGCUAAACUCCUCAUCGAUGGCUGAUUCAUUGAAAGAGUCAUUAGCUGAAUUGUAUGUGAUCAAUGGUCAAUACGAAAAGACACUUUCUCUUUAUGCUGAACUCCUGAAGCCAGAAGUAU